rnacentral:rRNA from 1 species
ACGGAACGCCAAGGAAAGAGUUUUCGGACAAUGGAAUUGGUUGUUUAGUGGCGGACGGGUGAGUAACGCGUGAGUAACCUGCCUUGGAGUGGGGAAUAACACAGUGAAAACUGUGCUAAUACCGCAUGAUAUAUUGGUGUCGCAUGGCACUGAUAUCAAAGAUUUAUCGCUCUGAGAUGGACUCGCGUCUGAUUAGAUAGUUGGCGGGGUAACGGCCCACCAAGUCGACGAUCAGUAGCCGGACUGAGAGGUUGGCCGGCCACAUUGGGACUGAGACACGGCCCAGACUCCUACGGGAGGCAGCAGUGGGGAAUAUUGGGCAAUGGGCGCAAGCCUGACCCAGCAACGCCGCGUGAAGGAAGAAGGCUUUCGGGUUGUAAACUUCUUUUAACAGGGACGAAGUAAGUGACGGUACCUGUUGAAUAAGCCACGGCUAACUACGUGCCAGCAGCCGCGGUAAUACGUAGGUGGCAAGCGUUAUCCGGAUCUACUGGGUGUAAAGGGCGUGUAGGCGGGACUGCAAGUCAGAUGUGAAAACUAUGGGCUCAACCCAUAGCCUGCAUUUGAAACUGUAGUUCUUGAGUGUCGGAGAGGCAAUCGGAAUUCCGUGUGUAGCGGUGAAAUGCGUAGAUAUACGGAGGAACACCAGUGGCGAAGGCG